AGUGAAGUGACUUUAUCCUCAGAGAUCCGAUUGACUUCUGCAUUCCCUCAGGAAGAGGAGCUGAAUAAACUGGGAUUUGGAAAGGCUGCACAGGCGCUGGGAGAAGGGAAGAGGCAUGAAGGGUCCCUUGGGCACAAACAGCUUCUGAGGGAGAAGACUGAGGGAGGAAGCUGCUGAGCCUGGCCUGGCACUGUGGAGGAUCUGGAGAGCCCCAGCCCCGCUGGACCUGGGCCCCCAGAGAGCCCCAUGGACCCUCCCCACCUCCUGCCCUUGGGUUUGCUGCUGCUGGCUCUUGCUGCUCCCCAUCCCAAUAUUGCCAUGUCCACUGUUGGCACUGAAGGGACAGAAGACUAUUCUACAGAGGUGACAGUCUACCGCUGCAGGGACUGUAACAGCUGCACAUGCAAGUCUGGGGCAAAUGAUUUUGAAAACUUUAACAUAAUUGCUGACACACAAAACAACAGAUUUUCAGAUGUAAUAAUAGAGUUGGUGACCAAUAAAACACACACCACUGUUUGCUUUGAGGAGCCAAAUUUCUGUCUUGAAGAAACUUACGGCAUCUUCUGGAAGAGAGAUGGGGGAUCAGGACUCUCGUGUGGCAUCCUGCGUUCUGGAGAAAAUGCAAGUAGUGACAUCAGUACUGAGAAGACUAUUUGCUGUGAGGCAGAGACAGGUACCAGGAGAUACAAUCCUGAAGUGAAGUGCUUCUACACCCAGAAGUUGCGUCCAAAACUCAAGACACUUCCACUUGGCUCUCCUGCCGAGGGAAUUCCAGAUGGGGCCAGUUCCUUGGUGUGGUGCUCACGAGGCAGCUCAUGGCUUGGCACUCCUGCUUGCUUCACUUGGAUGCUCUGUUUUCUUCUGCUCUGCAGCUUGUAGACAAGGCAGACAGGCUCCUGAAGGAGAAAGUCUUGUACAUCUUUGAUAACCAUCUCCAAGGAAGAAAACCUCUCUGUCAGCAGCAUCCUCCUCCUCCUCCUCUCUCAGGAUGCACAGCAACCAUGCAAACACAGACUGCUUUUCCAUGAGAUCUUCUGCUCUUGGAUUCACAAACUGUUGUGUUUUCACGAAUGCACCUUCACCACAGCCACACCUUCACCACAGCCACACCUUCCCCAAGCACUGUGACUCUUGUCCAGCUCCAGGUCUGUGUGAGCAGCACCAGGAGCCCCCAUCCUCUGCUGGUGCCUGGCUGCAGACAGCAGGCACCCCAGGGUGUGUGGCUGGCUCAGCAGCACAGGCUGAAACCAGCUGAAUUCUCUCUGUGACUGAGAGUGUGAACUGCUCUGAAAUGCUUCCCAAGCCCUCUGCAUGGCUUUCUCUUGGAAAUGCCACAGCAGCACCCAGGUGUCUGCAUUUUUUUAAUUCUCAGGUCAUCUCUGGAUUCAACAAAGCCUUUUGCACAGCUGGCUGGUUGGUUGGACUGGAAGAGUUUGUUUUUUUGAAGAGAUAUUUGAUUUUGCUGCCAGCUGCAGGCUGAGGAUGUGUCUGUGUGUUUGUUCCUGUGCAGGGGUCAGGGGUGGGUGGGGGGCUGUGUCCAGCUCCCUCAGCAAUGGCAUUGGGUCACUGAGGCCUUCCUCCCCCAGGCUGAACAGAACUCUGGUGUCAAUCUUCCUGCCAAAUCAGGCAAUUUUAGAGAGUGUGUGAUGAAUCCAGCCUCUCAGGGAUCCCAUUGGUUCUUGGUAUCUUUAAAUCAUUCCCCAUUCCCACUUGAUUGGAAUAAACCCUCAGAUUUUGCAUUGGAUCAAAUUUAGUAUCAGGAUGUUGAGUGGCAGCACAAGUGGAAAAGCAAAUCCCUGAAGCAAUGUGAAUGUUUGCUGAUUCUUUUUUUCCAUGGUUUAGUUCCCCAUGAAUCUGUAGCUGACACUUCCAGCAGGAAAUCUCAAAGGAUAUAGGAUGUUGUUUCCCUCUUGAACUUGGUACAGUUAAAUUGAAAAGGAAAGAUGAUUAAUGUAAAACAUCCACAUAAUUUUAAUAAUUAAUUUUUAGAAAGAUUGAAGGGCCUCUGUGCUUAAAUUUACCUUUUAUUUGGCAAAGAAAAUCAAUGCUUUUAUAGGUUGGAGAGGAUUAUUUUCCCCACUUAGGGCUUUUCACUCUUAACUCAGUUCUCAUCUGAUUUGAUGCAAUUUUUUGAUUUUAAUGUGGUGGAAUGCAAUCAAGUGUUCCUGAAGGGUUUACCAUUCAGGUAUUCCAAGGCUAGGUGUUUACUGAGUUGGUGGUAUUGAUGAUCCAGUUGUCAGGUGUAUUUUAUCAUGAGGAGUGUAGUUAAUAAUCAAUAAAUCAAAUCUAAGGUUUCCUGUAGCAAGGCCAGACUGUGAAUGAAUGAAGAAAUAGAAGGACAAAGACUUUUCCUCCGAACGUAGAAUCUAACCCCAAUUGCACUUCUAUAUUUUUACUCUCAAGAAAACUGCAGGAAGCUUUUGGGAGAGUAGAGCUGUGUAAGAGGAGUGAGUGACGCACCAGCCGGAGCUGCGCUCACUUUGCCACUACAGCCCCAUGCUGAGCAGGUCACACUCUGGGAGCAGGUGAACUGAGGUGUGGCUGGAGCCAUUGCUCUACAGCCUAUUUUGGCUGUCAGUCUGAGCUCUGAGGAGACAAGGAGGAGGGGAGAGGUGUACUGCAUAGAAUCAAAGAGGAUUUAUUACUCUGGGUUAUUUGCGGGCAAAAGACAAAAACGCAAGUUGAAAUAUGGGGGAGGUUCAGGGGACAGUACAAAUAAUCAGCAAAUUGGAGAAAUUCUGAGGGGGGGUAAAAGACUUGAUUCAAAAAAGCAUUAUCCAAUGAGAGAGGUAGGGGUGGAAAUUGGGUCCCAUGGAAGAAUGAAAUGUCCAGUUUUAGGGGAUUUCUAAAAAGGGAUUCCAAGCAGGGGUUAGACACAAAGUGGGAUUGACAGGGAAUUCAGGGUAGAUUCAUCGGGUGGGUGGGAGGGUAUAAUUUGGACCAAACCAUUAACUUGGGCAGAAUAUACCAUUAACCAGAAACACAUUGCUUCUUAAACAGAAAAGAGGGAGAUGUUGCAGAGUUGUGGUGUUGAGGAAUAGAUUCUGAUUGGGGUACACAUUUCUCCACCAGGACUGCUAUGUUAAUACUGCUACAUGAUUGACUUCUUUGGUGGAAGAGGUGGUAUCUUGGGUUGUCUUUAAGACAGCUUUCUUUAGAAUGGAAAAGGCAAUUAAAAUAAGAAAUACAACUAAGAAAAUCAACAGAAUGGUCCUGACAAUAGAAGCUAUCCAUUCUGUUAGUCCCCAUACUUUAAAGCUGGAACUUUGCCAGUCCUUGGAUUCUGGUUGAAUGUCUCUGAUGAGGUCUUCUAUUUUAUUGAUGGAAGUGUGGACACCUCUACUUUUGGAUGUUAAAUUAAAGCAACAGAGCCCUUCAAAGUCUUCACACCCAUGGCCAUGUGCAAGAAGCAAAAAGUCUAUAGCAGCACGAUUUUGUAAGUUUAUAUUCCUGGUUAUCUCUUCAUGAAAGAAUUCUUUUCUGUGGUGUGGCUGAUACACAAACUGAACGUAAUAAGGGGAAAAGGAGGAUCCCAAAAUUUCAAACUCUUAGGAUUCUUCAGUAGCCACAGGUAAUUUCUUGAUCCAAUUUCUCCAUAAAAUAAGAGGGUUUGUCACAAGCAUUUUUAUGGAGUAAAUGUUACUAUAAGAACAAGAAAGUUCAACGGGGGUUUGGUGGGUUGUUGGGAAUUGAUUUGUGCUUGUAGGGUUUUUAAACUUUCUAGGUAUUCUUUAGGCUUAAAUGGAAUCCUCAGCAGGCAGGUGUUGACAAAGGGUCAUGAGUGGCUGCCAUUGACAGGCAUAUGUGAUGUUGCUUUAGGACCUGGGCUAGGGUGACCCACACAUUCUUUCUUGGCUGAGGGAUGAUCCACGGUUGUGAGGACUGGCGCAGGAGAGUCAGGAUCCAAAUGGCAUUUAAAAGCAUGAUCUCUGACCCAGAGAACAUUCUAGGACCAAUAUGCCUAAGAAAGAAACAAGAUUAUGUUCUUCUGGGUAGAGGAAAUUAAAGGCAGGGUACACAUUAAUUAAAAAGGUCUGACAUAUCAUUGGGAAAAGGAACAGUGGGGGAUAAUUGACACAAUCAAGUAGAAGAUUGGGUUUUCCAGUUCCUUGGUGCCUAUGUCUGUGGAGGGAAGCCACAGCUAUAUUUUUGUUGAACUGGCCUUAACUUGGUAUGGAUUUGAGGCUGUGAGGCUUGACCCACUUUUGAGGGACCCCUCUAAACCCGGAGGGGGUGGACACACAUGCAUACCCUCAACCCCAGGUGAUUGACUUAAAUGGGCCCUCUACUUUUGUUGUCUAGGAUUUUUUAAUAAAACUAGGGGCUGUUCUUUCAAUUUUAGCUGUCUGCUAUUGUUGACAUGCCGGACAACAAGUGGGUUUAAGUGUUCAAAUGAACAGUUCAAAAAAUUUAUGGUAACAUAAAAAAACAAGGCCUUACAGAGCUUAAUUUGUGGUGGAUCGCUGGUGGUAUUGCUCUGCUGCUGCUCUAGGACUCUCUUGAGCGACUGAUGUGUUUGCUCAAUGAUGGCUUGACCUGUGGGGGACUGGGGGAUGCCUGUUUUAUAUUUCACUCCCCAUUUCUGCAAGAACUCCCAGAAUGCCUUGGAGGUAUAUAUGGGACCAUUAUCUCUUUUAAUUCCUUUAGGGAUUCCCAGCACAUAGAAGGCUUGCACUAGGUCUUUUUGUGCAUCUGUGGCCUUCUCCCCUGUGUAGACAGAAACAUAGACUACUCUGAAGAAAGUAUCUACUGAAACGUGGACAUAGUUCAUCCUGCUGAACUGUGGGACAUGAGUCACAUCCAUUUGCCACACCUCACAGCUGUUGAGGCCUCUUGGAUUUACACCAGCACUCAAGGUCGGUGCUGUGUACCUUUGGUAACUGGGAUCUGUAGCUACAAUGGCUUUGGCCUGGUCCCACGUGAGAUGGAAUUGAUGUAACAGGCCAGGUACAUGUUGAUGGAAUUGUUGAUGGCUUGACUUUGCCUGCUGAAAGAUGUGUGGCAGGUUGAGCAUCUCAGCCGGGGUGGCCAGAACAUCUGCUCUUCUGUUCCCCUCCGCAAUGAAACCUGGCAGGUCAGUGUGUGACCUCACAUGCAACACAUAGAAAGGUUGCUCUUGGUGGGAAACAAGAUUAAUUAAUCUUGAUAGCAACCUAAAGAGGUUGGGAUUAGAGGCUUCCUUUAAAACUGCAUUCUCAGCUCUAGAUACUACCCCUGCUACACAAGACGAAUUGGUGAUUAGAUUAAAAGGUUCAUAAAACCUCUCAAAGGCUCUGAGGACUGCGACUAACUCAGCAAUUUCAGGGGAGCCCUCAACUUCUUUAACAUCUGUCUCCCAUUGCUGAGUUUGAGGAUCCUUCCAGGUCAUCACUGACUUGUGGGAUGCUCCAGAUACAUCUCUGAAAACUGUCAGAGCAUUGAUGACUUCCGACUUUGUUUUUCCUUGGGGACUAAUUUGAAUGCCGAAUUAAAUAAUUAUGUCCAGGAUUGUGAAUUGAAAUUUGUCCUGGGUGGUUAUCUAGAGCAAAUUGGAGUGCCUUGUUUUUCCAAAUCAACUGCUCCAGAACUUCUUUCAUCAACUUACCUGAUAUUAGGUAUGCAUGUGAAAUCACACUCCGCCAGUUCUCGCAUUCUUGCCCUGGCCUUCCGGGUCAAUUCAGCCAUCAACUCUUGUGGCCUGGUGAUACUUUUGGAUCGCUGAUGACUGAGGAAUACCCACUCUCUUAUCAAGAGUGGAUCCUUCUGACCCUGGUCCCACUGGAGAAUCAGGCCAUGGAGGUGUGGCAGUCUUCCCAAAAAAAUAUACUUAAAUAGCAAGUCUGGCAUUAUGAGCUUGUUUUGUUGCCAUCAGCUCUUGAGCUUUCUCCAGUGCCAACUUGGCCUCUUGGGUUAGGACUCUAGGAGAACUCAGCUCCUCUCUGCCUUUCAAUAAAUUGAAAAGGGGGGCUAGGUCUUCUGUUGUUAAGCCCAGCCAGGGUCUUACCCAAUUUAAGGACCCACACAGCUGGUGGAGAUCAGCUAACGUUUUUGGGUUGUUUCUGAUUGUCAGUUUCUGAGGCGUAAUGGUCCUCUUGUUAAUUUGGAGCCCCAGAUACCUCCAAGGGGGCAUCUAUUGAGCUUUGUUUGGAGUUUGAAUCCUGCAGCAAUCAAAACAUUGACAAUUAGAUCAAGUGCGUGCUGUAGCGUAUCGUCAUCGGGGGCACACGUGAACACAUCAUCCAUCUAGUGCAGGGUGAUGGCUUCCCUCACUUUGGCAUGCUCUGGGGACAGCAAUGAAGCAACAUACCAGUGGCAGGUACUGGGACUGUUCUUCAUGCCUCGUGAAAAAACUUUCCAAGGGUAGCCCUUCACUGGGGCUUCUCGAUUGAUGGAGGGAACUGGGAAGGCAAACCAUGGGGCAAUGGCAGUGUCAAAGGGAAUCUGGAAGAAACAGUCUUUUAUAUCAAUAACUGCCAAAUUCCAAUUCUGGGGCAGCGUCAGCAGGGAGGGCAUUCCUGGCUGAGGAGGCUCCAUGUCUUUAAUUACUUGGUUAAUUUCUCUGAGAUCAUGGAGGAGCUGCCACUUGUCCUUUCCCGGCCCUGAUGACAAACACCAGGGAAUUCCAAAGACUAGUGGUUGCCUUUUCCUAACUGUUCCUCUACAAGUUCAUGCAGCCCCUUUAAUUUUUGUUUACCCAGCAGCCACUGACUUACCCAGACUGGUUGAUCAGUUUUCCAGUCAGCUUCUAGGCAGGGUGCUCAUCAGCGACCUCUAUGAAAGAUCCCAAUGGGUUUUUGAGAUUUUAAAUUUUCACUCCCCAUUGAGACAUGGUGUGUCUCCCUCACAGGGCAACCUCAUAGUCUAAAAUGAAUGGGUGCAAACUGGCCAAUUGCCCAUCUGGCCCUUCAGCUGGGACUGUGUUUUAGAUCAUUUGGCUAUUUGGGUCUCCCCAAUGCUCUGUACUUUAUCCAUCAUGGGUUGCAAUUCCCAAUGUGAUCGUCAUCUGGUGGUGGGGAUGAGCAUCACAGCUGCCUGUGUCCAACACUGCACCGAGGUGAAGGUAAUCUUAACUCUAUCCAAGGCUUGUUUUCUCCCAUGACUUCAGCCCAGUAGAUGUCUGGUGAAGAAUCAUCCACUGGCAGUUCGUUUGGCAUCGGAAACACCUGGGUAAUGAUUUGGCCCUGUGGCAUAAAGAAAGGAAGAGGAGCUGAAUAAACUGGGAUUUGGAAAGGCUGCACAGGCACUGGGAGAAGGGAAGAGGCAUGAAGGGUUCCUUGGGCACAAACAGCUUCUGAGGGAGAAGACUGAGGGAGGAAGCUGCUGAGCCUGGCCUGGCACUGUGGAGGAUCUGGAGAGCCCCAGCCCCGCUGGACCUGGGCCCCCAAAGAGCCCCAUGGACCCUCCCCACCUCCUGCCCUUGGGUUUGCUGCUGCUGGCUCUUGCUGCUCCCCAUCCCAAUAUUGCCAUGUCCAAUGUUGGUCCUGCUGCAGGAACAGAAGACUAUUCUACAGCAGUGACAGUCUACCACUGUAAGGACUGUAAGAACUGCGCAUGUGAGUCCUGGGAUAAAAAUUCUGAAAAGUUUGACAAAAGCACUGACACCCAAAGCAAGACAAUUUCAGAUGUAAUAAUAGCGUUGAUGAGCAAUAAAACACACACCACUGUUUGCUUUGAGGAACCAACUACCUGUCUUGAGGGAAUUUAUGGAGUCUCCUGGCAGAAAUGUGGGGGAUCAGGACUCUCGUGUGGCAGACUGCAUUCUGGAGAAAAUGGAAGAGGUGGCAUCAGUGCUGAGAAAAAGACUAUUUGCUGUGAAGCAGAGACAGGUAGCAGGAAAAACAACUCUGACCUGAAGUGCUUCUACGAAAAAAAGUCACUUUCAAAACGCACCAAACUGCCAGCUGUCUCUCCUGGUGAGGGAAUUGCAGAUGGGGCCAGUUCCUUGGUGUGGUGCUUACGAGGAGCUUGGCACUCCUGCUUGCUUCACUUGGAUGCUCUGUUUUCUUCUGCUCUGCAGCUCGUAGGCGAGACAGGCCGGUUCCUAGAAGAGAAAAUAUCCCACUAAAUGGAUAACCAUCUCCAAGGGAGAAAACCUCUCUGUCAGCAGCAUCCUCCUCCUCCUCCUCCUCUCUCAAGAUGCACAGCAACCAUGCAAACACAGACUGAUUUUCCAUGAGAACUUCUGCUCUUGAAUUCACAAACUGUUGUGUUUUCACAAAUGCACCUUCACCACAGCCACACCUUCCCCAAGCACUGUGACUCUUGUCCAGCUCCAGGUCUGUGUGAGCAGCACCAGGAGCCCCCAUCCUCUGCUGGUGCCUGGCUGCAGACAGCAGGCACCCCAGGGUGUGUGGCUGGCUCAGCAGCACAGGCUGAAACCAGCUGAAUUCUCUCUGUGACUGAGAGUGUGAACUGCUCUGAAAUGCUUCCCAAGCCUUCUGCAUGGCUUUCUCUUGGAAAUGCCACAGCAGCACCCAGGUGUCUGCAUUUUUUUAAUUCUCAGGUCAUCUCUGGAUUCACCAAAGCCUUUUGCACAGCUGGCUGGUUGGCUGGACUGGAAGAGUUUGUUUUUUUGAAGAGAUAUUUGAUUUUGCUGCCAGCUGCAGGCUGAGGAUGUGUCUGUGUGUUUGUUCCUGUGCAGGGGUCAGGGGUGGGUGGGGGGCUGUGUCCAGCUCCCUCAGCAAUGGCAUUGGGUCACUGAGGCCUUCCUCCCCCAGGCUGAACAGAACUCUGGUGUCAAUCUUCCUGCCAAAUCAGGCAGUUUUAGAGAGUGUGUGAUGAAUCCAGCCUCUCAGGGAUCCCAUUGGUUCUUGGUAUCUUUAAAUCAUUCCCCAUUCCCACUUGAUUGGAAUAAACCCUCAGAUUUUGCAUUGGAUUGAAUUUAGUAUCAGGCUGUUGAGUGAAAAUCAGUGGCAGCACAAGUGCAAAUUUUUGAAGCAAUGUGAAUAUUUUCCAUGGUUUAGUUCCCGAUGUAGCAGUAGCCAUAAACCAUAAACAUCCAGCAGAAAAUCCCAAAAGAUGUAGGAUGUUGUUUCCCUCUAGAACUUUGCUACAGUCAAACCUAAAGGGAGAGGUUCUUAAUGUAAAAUGUUCAUAUAAUUUUAAUAUUUAAUUUUUAGAGAGAAGGGCAUCCGUGCUUAAAUUUACCUUCUAUUUGGCAAAGGAGACCAAUGCUUUUAUGGGUUGGAGAGGGUUUUUUAGCCAUUCAGGGCGUUACACUCACACUUUUAAGUCAGUUCUCAGCAAAUUUGAUGCAGAUUUGCACAACUAAGGUUGCCUUUAACAAGGCCAGUCUGUGAAUGAACUAAGAAAUAGAAGGAAAAAGACUUUCCCUCUUUAUGUAGCAUCUUAUCACUAUUGCACUUUAGUUUUUUUUUCCGUACAAGAAAAUUGCAGCAAUUUUUUGAGAGAGUAGAGAUGUGUAAGAGGAGUGAGCAGUGCUUUCUUUGGAAAUUGCAUUAUAUUAACUUGAGGUGUUCAGGUUUAAUGAUGUGCAGAUUUAAUUUCUAUUCUGUAACAGCAGUUGGGGCCAGAGUGCUGGACAUGCUUUGAGAGAAAAGUUAUAUGGGCACCUCAGUGAGGUCAGACAGGAAACACAGGUCACAGAAUGAUCUUGAUGUCUCUCUCAAAAACUCUUUCCUUCACAUCUCUUAAUUCUGUGGGUGAUUAUGCAGAUUGUGAUGUUUGGGGACAUCCCCACCAACUGCUCCACUUUGUCCCUUUGGUCUGUGUUGUGCUGGUGCACACCAAAGGUGCCACAUCUCAGGAAAUGCAGUGACAACGUGCUUUAAAGAUCUACAGUGUUUGUUCUCAGCAAGUGCAUUUUUCCAUUGAAUAUAGACAUAGAGGUGCAUAUUUUUAAUCACAGGAUCAUAGAAUGAUUUGUGCUGGAAGUGAUCUAAAAGAUCAUCUUGUUUUAUCUUAUGGAUAAAAAAAUAACAAAGAAUACUAAGAGGUUUGACUCACCAAAAGCCAUAAUUUGAUAGUUGUUACUUCAUUUGAGGUGUCAUAAAAUCCACAAUAAAGUUUUAUCUUAAAUA